rnacentral:rRNA from 1 species
CCUACGGGAGGCAGCAGUGGGGGAUAUUGCACAAUGGGGGGAACCCUGAUGCAGCGACGCCGCGUGGGUGAAGAAGCGCCUCGGCGCGUAAAGCCCUGUCAGCAGGGAAGAAAAUGACGGUACCUGAAGAAGAAGCCCCGGCUAACUACUUGCCAGCAGCCGCGGUAAUACGUAGGGGGCAAGCGUUAUCCGGAUUUACUGGGGGUAAAGGGGGCGCAGACGGCGAUGCAAGCCAGGAGUGAAAGCCCGGGGCCCAACCCCGGGACUGGUCUUGGAACUGCGUGGCUUGAGUGCAGGAGGGGCAGGCGGAAUUGCCGGUGUAGCGGUGGAAUGCGUAGAUAUCAGGAGGAACACCGGUGGCGAAGGCGGCCUGCUGGACUGCAACUGACGUUGAGGCCCGAAAGCGUGGGGAGCAAACAGGAUUAGAUACCCGAGUAGUC